GACGAACGCUGGCGGCGUGCUUAACACAUGCAAGUCGAACGGAAAGGCCCCUUUGGGGGUACUCGAGUGGCGAACGGGUGAGUAACACGUGAGUAACCUGCCCUUGACUUCGGGAUAACUUCAGGAAACUGGGGCUAAUACCGGAUAGGAAUCCUUGCUGCAUGGUGGGGGUUGGAAAGCUUCGGCGGUUUUGGAUGGACUCGCGGCUUAUCAGCUUGUUGGUGGGGUAGUGGCUUACCAAGGCUUUGACGGGUAGCCGGCCUGAGAGGGCGACCGGCCACAUUGGGACUGAGAUACGGCCCAGACUCCUACGGGAGGCAGAAGUGGGGAAUAUUGCACAAUGGGCGGAAGCCUGAUGCAGCAACGCCGCGUGCGGGAUGACGGCCUUCGGGUUGUAAACCGAUUUCAGCAGGGGCGAAGCUUGUGGUGACGGUACCUGCAGAAGAAGCACCGGCUAACUACGUG
rnacentral:rRNA from 1 species